UCCUAUUUCUCAGUCGGUAGAGCAUGAGACUCUUAAUCUCAGGAACGUGGGUUCAAGCCCCACACUGAGCAAAA